AUUGAACGCUGGCGGCAUGCCUAACACAUGCAAGUCGAGCGGCAGCGCGGGGGCAACCCUGGCGGCGAGCGGCGGACGGGUGAGUAAGGCAUCGGAAUCUGCCCUGGAUGUGGGGGAUAACGUAGGGGAAACUUACGCUAAUACCGCAUACGACCGAGAGGUGAAAGCGGGGGACCGAAAGGCCUCGCGCAGCAGGAUGAGCCGAUGUCCGAUUAGCUAGUUGGUGGGGUAAAGGCCUACCAAGGCGACGAUCGGUAGCUGGUCUGAGAGGAUGAUCAGCCACACUGGGACUGAGACACGGCCCAGACUCCUACGGGAGGCAGCAGUGGGGAAUAUUGGACAAUGGGGGCAACCCUGAUCCAGCAAUGCCGCGUGUGUGAAGAAGGCCUUCGGGUUGUAAAGCACUUUUAUCGGGAACGAAACACCGUGGGUUAAUACCCUGCGGGACUGACGGUACCCGAGGAAUAAGCACCGGCUAACUCCGUG
rnacentral:rRNA from 1 species